rnacentral:rRNA from 1 species
UUUCCGUAGGUGAACCUGCGGAAGGAUCAUUAUCGAAUUUAAAGCUUGGUUGAGCUGUCGCUUCGGCGUACGUGCUCGCCUCGCCGUCCAUUCUCAACACCUGUGCACACUCAAGUUCUUUCUGUUCUUCCCAUAGCGCUUUCUAUUGCUUGUCUCUUCAUUGAGGCGGUAAGAAGGAGCGUGAAAGGUGGAAUAAGGAUGAGCUGCCUUUUAACACACCCUUCUUUUAAAAGGUCUAUGAACGUCAAAUGUAGGCUCGCCUUAAAAACGUGAUGCUGAAAUUAAAAAUAAUACAACUUUUAACAACGGAUCUUUUGGCUCUCGCAUCGAUGAAGAACGCAGCGAAAUGCGAUAAGUAAUGUGAAUUGCAGAAUUCAGUGAAUCAUCGAAUCUUUGAACGCACCUUGCGCUCCUUGGUAUUCCGAGGAGCAUGCCUGUUUGAGUGUCAUUAAAUUCUCAACCUCAUAACGUUUUCGAACGGUCCUUGAGGCUUGGACUUUGGAGCGUGUCGGCCUCUUUUUCUAAAGAAGUCGACUCCUCUUUAAAUGCAUUAGCUGGAACCUCUUGUGGACCAGACUACGGUGUGAUAAUUAUCUACGCUGUGGCCUUGUGAAAGCACUUUGUUACGAGGUUCUGCUUCUAACCGUCCCUUACACGGACAAUGAUCUUAAUUGAUUGACAUUUGACCUCAAAUUCAGGAGGACUACCGCUGACUUAA